rnacentral:rRNA from 1 species
UACAGAGGUCCCAAGCGUUGUUCGGAUUCACUGGGCGUAAAGGGUGCGUAGGCGGUCGGGUAAGUCUGGCGUGAAAUCUCCAAGCCUAACUUGGAAACUGCGUUGGAUACUAUCCGGCUCGAGGAAUGGAGGGGAGACUGGAAUACUUGGUGUAGCAGUGAAAUGCGUAGAUAUCAAGUGGAACACCAGUGGCGAAGGCGGUUGCCUGGGGCUUUGCUGACGCUGAGGCGCGAAAGCGUGGGGAGCGAACAGG